rnacentral:rRNA from 1 species
UACGUAGGGGGCAAGCGUUGUCCGGAUUCAUUGGGCGUAAAGCGCUCGUAGGCGGUUCGGUAAGUCGGGUGUGAAAUCUCCGUGCUCAACACGGAGCGGCCACCUGAUACUGCCGUGACUCGAGUCCGGUAGGGGAGUGUGGAAUUCCCGGUGUAGCGGUGAAAUGCGCAGAUAUCGGGAGGAACACCAGUAGCGAAGGCGGCACUCUGGGCCGUGACCGACGCUGAGGAGCGAAAGCGUGGGUAGCAAACAGG